GAAUCUGUGACUAUGAGACACUUGAGGGAAGGACAUAUGAGGGAAGGACAUAUACUAAUAGUAGUGACCAGAAGAUUUCACGAUCCUGGGUGCCCAGGGCCCUUUAACACCUCUGCAAACACAGUGGAAGAAGGAGGUAGAAGACACAAUGUCAAAAUAAUGUGAUAUGAGAAAGACUUGACUAGCCACUGCUGGGGAGGCCACCAGCCAAGGAAUGUUGGAAACUGGAAAUGGAUUUCCCUCUAGAUUCCCCAGUAAGAAAUGUAGCCGUGCCAACACCUUGACUUUCAGACUUCUG